GUGAGGAAUAUUGGUCAAUGGACGAGAGUCUGAACCAGCCAAGUCGCGUGAAGGAAGAAGGAUCUAUGGUUCGUAAACUUCUUUUGCAGGGGAAUAAAGUGCAGGACGUGUCCUGUUUUGUAUGUACCCUGAGAAUAAGGAUCGGCUAACUCCGUGCCAGCAGCCGCGGUAAUACGGAGGAUCCGAGCGUUAUCCGGAUUUAUUGGGUUUAAAGGGUGCGUAGGUGGUUUGAUAAGUCAGCGGUGAAAGUUUGCAGCUUAACUGUAAAAAUGCCGUUGAAACUGUCGGACUUGAGUGUAAAUGAGGUAGGCGGAAUGCGUGGUGUAGCGGUGAAAUGCAUAGAUAUCACGCAGAACUCCGAUUGCGAAGGCAGCUUACUAAGCUACAACUGACACUGAAGCACGAAAGCGUGGGGAUCAAACAGGAUUAGAAACCCGGGUAGUCC
rnacentral:rRNA from 1 species